AGGGAUCUCUUCUGAAGAUCCGCUGUGCUGGAAUUUCAUAAGUGAGCCCAGGAUAUGGGUGCAUUUCACACUUCUGCCUAUGUAUUGUAUUUGCUAAACUAGAGAGGAACAGCAGCUACACUCAGCUGGAUUUCAGAGGCUACUUAGGAUUGGUUCUGUCCCUGAAUGAUUGACAAAUCUCUCCAAUGGGAACAGCUAAAGGUGUGUGCUCUCAUCUGAGCAGCACGAAGGACUCCAAGCGCAUUCUGCACUUUCCGAGGACAUUCCCCCCUCUGCCAGCCAACAGAAGAAGCCAACUGAAUUCUUGGUUUCAGUGACUGCUGACUGAAACUCUGAAGCUUUUGAAGCUGCAAACGAAAUGGGCAAAUCAUACUAAGGCUGUUCAUCUUCAGUUGCCUGAAGAUUAUAUGGG